AUUGAACGCUGGCGGCAGGCCUAACACAUGCAAGUCGAGCGGAUGAAGGGAGCUUGCUCCUGGAUUCAGCGGCGGACGGGUGAGUAAUGCCUAGGAAUCUGCCUGGUAGUGGGGGAUAACGUCCGGAAACGGGCGCUAAUACCGCAUACGUCCUGAGGGGGAAAGUGGGGGAUCUUCGGACCUCACGCUAUCAGAUGAGCCUAGGUCGGAUUAGCUAGUUGGUGGGGUAAAGGCCUACCAAGGCGACGAUCCGUAACUGGUCUGAGAGGAUGAUCAGGCACACUGGAACUGAGACACGGUCCAGACUCCUACGGGAGGCAGCAGUGGGGAAUAUUGGACGAUGGGCGAAAGCCUGAUCCAGCCAUGCCGCGUGUGUGAAGAAGGUCUUCGGAUUGUAAAGCACUUUAAGUUGGGAGGAAGGGCAGUAAGUUAAUACCUUGCUGUUUUGACGUUACCAACAGAAUAAGCACCGGCUAACUUCGUG
rnacentral:rRNA from 1 species